CCAGCUUGCUGGGUGGAUUAGUGGCGAACGGGUGAGUAACACGUGAGUAACCUGCCCCCGACUCUGGGAUAAGCCCGGGAAACUGGGUCUAAUACCGGAUAUUACCUCUUGCCGCAUGGCAGGUGGUGGAAAGAUUUAUCGGUGGGGGAUGGACUCGCGGCCUAUCAGCUUGUUGGUGAGGUAAUGGCUCACCAAGGCGACGACGGGUAGCCGGCCUGAGAGGGUGACCGGCCACACUGGGACUGAGACACGGCCCAGACUCCUACGGGAGGCAGCAGUGGGGAAUAUUGCACAAUGGGCGAAAGCCUGAUGCAGCGACGCCGCGUGAGGGAUGACGGCCUUCGGGUUGUAAACCUCUUUCAGUAGGGAAGAAGCGAAAGUGACGGUACCUGCAGAAGAAGCGCCGGCUAACUACGUGCCAGCAGCCGCGGUAAUACGUAGGGCGCAAGCGUUAUCCGGAUUUAUUGGGCGUAAAGAGCUCGUAGGCGGUUUGUCGCGUCUGCCGUGAAAGUCCGAGGCUCAACCUCGGAUCUGCGGUGGGUACGGGCAGACUAGAGUGAUGUAGGGGAGACUGGAAUUCCUGGUGUAGCGGUGAAAUGCGCAGAUAUCAGGAGGAACACCGAUGGCGAAGGCAGGUCUCUGGGCAUUUACUGACGCUGAGGAGCGAAAGCAUGGGGAGCGAACAGGAUUAGAUACCCUGGUAGUCCAUGCCGUAAACGUUGGGCACUAGGUGUGGGGGACAUUCCACGUUUUCCGCGCCGUAGCUAACGCAUUAAGUGCCCCGCCUGGGGAGUACGGCCGCAAGGCUAAAACUCAAAGGAAUUGACGGGGGCCCGCACAAGCGGCGGAGCAUGCGGAUUAAUUCGAUGCAACGCGAAGACCUUACCAAGCUUGACAUGUGCCAGACCGCUUCAGAGAUGGAGUUUCCCUUCGGGGCUGGUUCACA
rnacentral:rRNA from 1 species